ACCACGAAACGUCUAGAAAAACAUCGAGGUCUCCAAAUACGUAUGAGGCAGCCUUGUGACCGGCUUUUUUCGUUAAACCUUCAUUAUUUAAAUGGACUUCAGCAGUUGCAGAUCAGUAGUCUUCACCUGAUUCUACGAGUAUCAACAAUCAACAACUAAAACGCCCAAAAUGCCCGCACCUUGUGAGCCCUGCAAAGACUCGUGCAAGAAUGGCGCCAACUGCAAAGACGGCUGCACUUGUCAAGCCGAUUGUACCGAUUGUUCCACUAAACAAGGUGGUUGUUGCUGAACAUUUUCAACCAUGAAGUGCUUUCUUCUCCAUUUACUGGCGCAUGGAUAAUGUUAAUCAAAGAUAGUUUUAUGAAAUAAAUACAAUAUUUAAAAUAUA
rnacentral:lncRNA from 1 species